rnacentral:rRNA from 1 species
UAGGGUGAGGCCUGAUCGUGACCCCCUUGUGGGGGGAAGUAGGAUGAUCCUGUGCUGCCAAGAAAAGCAUCGACGUGAGGUUUUAACCGCCCGUACCCGAAACCGACACAGGUAGUCAGGUAGAGAAUACUAAGGCGAUCGAGAGAAUCGUGGUUAAGGAACUCGGCAAAAUGCCCCCGUAACUUUGGGAGAAGGGGGACCCAAACCUUGAAGUGUCUAGCAUGCUAGGGGUGAGGGUCGCAGAGUCCAGGGAGAAGCGACUGUUUAUCAAAAACACAGGUCCGUGCGAAGCCGCAAGGCGAUGUAUACGGACUGACGCCUGCCCGGUGCUGGAAGGUUAAGCGGACCGGUCAGCAUGGUUUAUCCAUGUGAAGCUGGGAAGUUAAGCCCCAGUAAACGGCGGUGGUAACUAUAACCAUCCUAAGGUAGCGAAAUUCCUUGUCGGGUAAGUUCCGACCUGCACGAAUGGCGUAACGACUUCUCUACUGUCUCGACCACGAACUCGGCGAAAUUGCAUUACGAGUAAAGAUGCUCGUUACGCGCAGAAGGACGGAAAGACCCCGGGACCUUAUACUAUAGCUUGGUAUUGGUGUUCGGUACGGCUUGUGUAGGAUAGGUGGGAGACUGUGAAACUCAGACGCUAGUUUGGGUGGAGUCAUUGUUGAAAUACCACUCUGGCCGUGCUGCACAUCUAACCUCGGCCCGUGAUCCGGGCCAGGAACAGUGCCUGGUGGGUAGUUUAACUGGGGCGGUUGCCUCCUAAAAGGUAACGGAGGCGCUCAAAGGUCUCCUCAGCCUGGUCGGUAACCAGGUGUCGAGUGUAAGUGCACAAGGAAGCUUGACUGUGACACUGACAGGUCAAACAGGUACGAAAGUAGGAACUAGUGAUCCGGCACUGGCUUGUGGAAGCGGUGUCGCUCAACGGAUAAAAGGUACCCCGGGGAUAACAGGCUGAUCCUGCCCAAGAGUUCAUAUCGACGGCAUGGUUUGGCACCUCGAUGUCGGCUCGUCGCAUCCUGGGGCUGGAGUAGGUCCCAAGGGUUGGGCUGUUCGCCCAUUAAAGCGGUACGCGAGCUGGGUUCAGAACGUCGUGAGACAGUUCGGUCCCUAUCCUCUGCGCGCGUGAGAGAAUUGAGAAGGGCUGUCCCUAGUACGAGAGGACCGGGACGGACGGACCACUGGUGUGCCAGUUAUCCCGCCAGGGGUAUGGCUGGUUGGCUACGUUCGGGAAGGAUAACCGCUGAAAGCAUCUAAGCGGGAAGCCUGCUUCAAGAAUAAUUCUCACUCCAACCUGUUCGGUGUAGGCCCCCCGAAGACUACGGGGUUGAUAGACCAGACGUGGAAGAGAAGCAAUUCUCGGAGCUGACUGGCACUAAUGGCCAACUAU